rnacentral:rRNA from 1 species
UUGAACUGAAGAGUUUGAUCCUGGCUCAGAUUGAACGCUGGCGGCAUGCCUUACACAUGCAAGUCGAACGGCAGCACGGGCUUCGGCCUGGUGGCGAGUGGCGAACGGGUGAGUAAUACAUCGGAACAUGUCCUGUAGUGGGGGAUAGCCCGGCGAAAGCCGGAUUAAUACCGCAUACGAUCCACGGAUGAAAGCGGGGGACCUUCGGGCCUCGCGCUAUAGGGUUGGCCGAUGGCUGAUUAGCUAGUUGGUGGGGUAAAGGCCUACCAAGGCGACGAUCAGUAGCUGGUCUGAGAGGACGACCAGCCACACUGGGACUGAGACACGGCCCAGACUCCUACGGGAGGCAGCAGUGGGGAAUUUUGGACAAUGGGCGCAAGCCUGAUCCAGCAAUGCCG